rnacentral:lncRNA from 1 species
CAAUAUCAUCGAGCUCCCUCUCAAUCCAAUCAUCGGCGACCGCCCACGCAACCGGGACCAUGGCCACGCAAGACAAGCGGUCUGCAACGGGCGGAAGAUGAACUUGGCAGUCGACACCAACGGAGCCACACACAAACACCGGCGCACCCGCCGCUACCUAGGGCACCAGCGGCCGUAAGCCCGAAGGUUCUGAUCCCCUCAGUGGCUGCAUUAUCCCUCGCGG